rnacentral:rRNA from 1 species
GAUGAACGCUAGCGGCGGGCUUAACACAUGCAAGUCGAGGGGUGAAAAAUCGGUUUCGGCCGUAACACGACCGGCGAACGGGUGAGUAACGCGUAUGGAAUCUACCCUUAUCAGGAGGAUAGCCCGAAGAAAUUCGGAUUAAUACUCCAUAACACUUCGAUACUCCUGUAAAGAAGUUAAAAGUUUCGACGGAUAAGGAUGAUCAUGCGUCAGAUUAGCUAGUUGGUAAGGUAAGGGCUUACCAAGGCGAUGAUCUGUAGGGGUCCUGAGAGGGAGACCCCCCACACUGGUACUGAGACACGGACCAGACUCCUACGGGAGGCAGCAGUGAGGAAUAUUGCGCAAUGGGCGAAAGCCUGACGCAGCCACGUCGCGUGUAGGAAGACAGCCUUAUGGGUCGUAAACUACUUUUGUAUGGAAAGAAACCUUCUUACGUGUAAGAAGCUGACGGUACCAUACGAAUAAGCAUCGGCUAACUCCGUGCCAGCAGCCGCGGUAAUACGGAGGAUGCAAGCGUUAUCCGGAUUCAUUGGGUUUAAAGGGUCCGCAAGCGGACAUCUAAGUCAGAGGUGAAAUCUCUCGGCUCAACCGAGAAACUGGCUUUGAUACUGGAUGUCUUGAGUAAGGGUGAAGUGGUUGGAAUGUGUGAUGUAGUGGUGGAAUGCUUAGAUAUUACACAGAACACCGAUUGCGAAGGCAGAUCACUAAACCUUACUGACCUCAGGGACGAAAGCGUGGGGAGCAAACAGGAUUAGAUACCCU